rnacentral:rRNA from 1 species
UACAGAGGUCCCAAGCGUUGUUCGGAUUCAUUGGGCGUAAAGGGUGCGUAGGCGGUGGGGUAAGUUGGAUGUGAAAUCUUGGGGCUUAACCUCAAAAUUGCAUUCAAUACUGCUCCGCUCGAGUUCUGUAGAGGAGAUUGGAAUUUACGGUGUAGCAGUGAAAUGCGUAGAUAUCGUAAGGAACGCCAGUGGCGAAAGCGACUUCAUGGACCAGUACCGACGUUCAGGCACGAAAGCGUGGGGAGUAAACAGG